CCUACGGGAGGCAGCAGUGGGGAAUAUUGGGCAAUGGGCGCAAGCCUGACCCAGCCAUGCCGCGUGAGUGAUGAAGGCCUUCGGGUCGUAAAGCUCUGUGGGGAGGGAAGAACAAGGUGCUGGCUAAUAUCCAGCGCCCCUGACGGUACCUCCUUAGCAAGCACCGGCUAACUCCGUGCCAGCAGCCGCGGUAAUACGGAGGGUGCAAACGUUGCUCGGAAUCAUUGGGCGUAAAGCGCACGUAGGUGGCUCUUUAAGUCGGGCGUGAAAGCCCCGGGCUUAACCCGGGAAGUGCGCUCGAAACUGGGGAGCUUGAAUAUGGAAGAGGGUCGCGGAAUUCCCGGUGUAGAGGUGAAAUUCGUAGAUAUCGGGAGGAACACCAGUGGCGAAGGCGGCGACCUGGGCCAAUAUUGACGCUGAGGUGCGAAAGCGUGGGGAGCAAACAGGAUUAGAUACCCGGGUAGUC
rnacentral:rRNA from 1 species